rnacentral:rRNA from 1 species
AGCAGCCGCGGUAAUUCCAGCUCCAAUAGCGUAUAUUUAAGUUGUUGCAGUUAAAAAGCUCGUAGUUGAAUUUCGGGGUCAGUAGACUGGUCGUGCCACUGGUAUGUACUGGUCUCACUGGCUCCUCCUUCCUGAUGAACCGUAAUGCCAUUAAUUUGGUGUUGCGGGGAGACUGGACUGUUACUUUGAAAAAAUUAGAGUGUUUAAAGCAGGCUAACGCUUGAAUACAUUAGCAUGGAAUAAUGAAAUAGGACGUUCGAUCUUAUUUUGUUGGUUUCUAAGAUUGACGUAAUGAUUAAUAGGGAUAGUUGGGGGCAUUAGUAUUCAAUUGUCAGAGGUGAAAUUCUUGGAUUUAU